UGCUGUGCGGGAGAACCAGCCACGACUUCCCUGCUCAGGCGGGGAGGAGAAAACACAGGGUCACAGUGCGGAGCUUUCUACUUUUUAUUAAUUUGUUAGAGAGAGAGAGAGAGAGAGAGAGAUGAAGGGCAGAGGGAGGGAGAGAAAGAAUCUCAAGGCGACUUUGCACUGAGCUCCAUUCCAGCCUGGGGCUAAUAAGCCUAGUAUAUUACCACAUUGUUUUCCAAAAAUAUAGCAGCAAUUUACAUUCCUGCCAUUAAUCUCUGUGCGUUUCUGUUACCCAAAGCCAACAUCAGAACUUGUUAUUGUCGUAUUCACUUUUUGCUCCUCUGAUCAGUGCAAAUGAAUGUAUGCCCCCCAAGGGAUGAGAUCCGACUUUAUUCAUAUUUGCACCCUUGCACCUGCCUGAAUUAUUUAGAAAAUUUGUUAUUGUUGUUUUGCAAGUUACAGAUGACUCCUAUUGGCUUAAAAAAUAAGAGACCUGCAAGUGGUCUGAGGUUGGUUUAGAGACAUUUCAACCAAUGAGAGGAAGAAGACUCUUGCUAGGAAUUUUGUAACAUGGUUAUUUUUCUUUCCCUUAGGUUAGUAGAGCUUCUGCAGCCAUUGCCUCACCAGGAGGGAAGCAAGCCUUAGGAUUCUGCUGAUACCACAGAAAGUAGUGUGUAAGGAUGAAAUAUGCCAAAUCAUGAUUCAGGCACACCCUGAAGCCCAUCCUACUUCUGGACUUUCCAGUCACAUGAGCCACUCACUUAUCUCAAAUGGAAGGAUGAUGCAUGUUUAUGUGCCUGACAUAGGGACCUUGAGAACAAUCUCCAGCCUCAGAUGACCCUACAGCCUAGGGAAAGAGCACCAGGAAGGAAGAAGUUCUGCUCUGAGGGCAAGGAUUAUGAGGAGACUAUUAUAAAUGACAUAGCCCUGCAGCUGCAGUUAGGAGUACAUCCAUCCCUGCUGGAUCAAGAUGCAAAACUGUUCACAUACCCGGUCGGGGUCAACGCGCUGUUAUUAUGUUCUUGUAUUGCUCUUAUCUGGUUUUGGAAUCAGUAUUAGUAACCUCAUAAAAUGAGGAGGUGGGUUUUGAAAGUCAGUUCUCUUUUUUUUUUUUUUUAAGAUUUUAUUUAUGUAUUCAUAAGAGACACAGAGAUAGAGGCAGAGACAUAGGCCGAGGGAGAGGCAGGCUCCCCACAGGGAGCCCGAUGCAGGACUCGAUCCCAGGACCCCAGGAUCACGCCCUGAGCUGAAGGCAGAUGCUCAACUGCUGAGCCCCCCAGGUGUCCAAAAGUCAGUCUUCUAUCAUUUUGUAACAACUUGUUCUUUUCAGGAGAGACAGUCUGAUGACUUUUUGCCUCCCUAAUACUUACACAAUCGCCAAUAUUGGCAUUUUCUAUAUUUCUAGGAUGUUUGCAUCUCAUCCAAAUUUUCCAAUUUACUAUCCAUAGAGUAGUUUUCCUAAUAUUUUAUUCCAGAUUCUGUUUCAUGGAGUUGCCCACAAUGAGAGAGGGGAAGUGGGUCCACACUGUUCAAGCACCUUGUCCACCUCCCUGAGCUGGGUAAUUCUUCCCAGGAUGCAGCGUCCUGUGACUAGUCUAGCACUGACCCUGGCCUGGCCUUUCGUGGUUCUCCGUGGCGGCCCUGUAGUUUGUCUUAUCUUCCCUUGGAGUUCUACCCUUGGGUUAGGCAUGCUCCUUCAUGGUGCUGGCUACAGUUAGCGACUGAGAGGGGCAAAAGAGAGCUCUAAGGGGUACAGAGCAAAAAGGAGUAGUAAAUGCCUGCUUAACCAAUACAACAGUUCUUUUUAGGGUGAUGAAAAGUUCUGGAACUAGAUCGUGGAAAUGGCUGCAUGACAUUUCAAACGUACUUAACACCAUCGAACUCUACACUUUAAAAAUGGUUUAGAUGGUAAAUUUUACAUGUAUUUUACCACAAUAAAAAAAAAUUAAUCUUGGGACCCCUGGGUGGC
rnacentral:lncRNA from 12 species